rnacentral:rRNA from 1 species
AUUGAACGCUGGCGGCAGGCCUAACACAUGCAAGUCGAACGAGUGGCGGACGGGUGAGUAAUGUCUGGGAAACUGCCCGAUGGAGGGGGAUAACUACUGGAAACGGUAGCUAAUACCGCAUACCAUCGGAUGUGCCCAGAUGGGAUUAGAUGGUAGGGGAGGUAACGGCUCACCUAGGCGACGAUCCCUAGCUGGUCUGAGAGUAUGACCAUGCCAAGUGUAACUGAGAAACGGUCCAGACUCCUACGGGCGGUAGGAGUGGGGAAGAUUGCAGAAUGGGCGGAAUACUGAUGCAGCCAUGCCGGGUAGAUGAAGAAGGCCUUCGGGUUGUAAAGUACUUUCAGCGGGGAGGCGUUACCCGCAGAAGAAGCACCGGCUAACUCCGUGCCAGCCGCCGCUGUAAUAC